CCUACGGGAGGCAGCAGUGAGGAAUAUUGGUCAAUGGGCGCGAGCCUGAACCAGCCAAGUAGCGUGAAGGAUGACUGCCCUACGGGUUGUAAACUUCUUUUAUAAAAGAAUAGAGUGAGGCACGUGUGCCUUUUUGUAUGGACUUUAUGAAUAAGGAUCGGCUAACUCCGUGCCAGCAGCCGCGGUAAUACGGAGGAUCCGAGCGUUAUCCGGAUUUAUUGUGUUUAAAGGGAGCGUAGAUGGUUUGUUAAGUCAGUUGUGAAAGUUUGCGGCUCAACCGUAAAAUUGCAAUUGAUACUGGCAGUCUUGAGUACAGUUGAGGUAGGCGGAAUUCGUGGUGUAGCGGUGAAAUGCUUAGAUAUCACGAAGAACUCCGAUUGCGAAGGCAGCUUACUAAACUGCCACUGACAUUGAUGCUCGAAAGUGUGGGUAUCAAACAGGAUUAGAUACUUUAGUAGUC
rnacentral:rRNA from 1 species